GAGUGGACCGACACUUUGUAGAAAUUCGCUCAAUAGCCCGGCUGACGUCACUAAUUCACCCUCUCUUUCCGGCCGCCGCCACGGGCUCUCCAUGGAACGGCUCAAAUCGGCGGUGCCGCCCGACCUCCGGCGGGCCGUCGGCGAGGGCACGGCCGCCGAUCUAGCUAACACCACCUCUCGCCUGUUCGCCUUCUUCGACAGCCUUCCUCUCUUCCACCAGGUUAUGCAAGAACUGACCGACCCCGAGCUUGCGUUGUGUCGCAAAGACAAGGUGAAGGCUGUAGAGUUGAAGGGCCACGGCAACGCGUGCUUCUCUAGGAGGGAGUUCGGGAAAGCUCUCAGGUUCUAUUCGCAGGCAUUGCGCCAUGUCCCAAUUAAUUCGGGUGGCAUGGAUGUGAACUUGGUAUCUUCAUUAUAUGUCAAUCGAGCCUCCACCAUGCAUAAAUUAGGUCUGUUCGAAGAAUCUCUAAGGGACUGUGACAGGGCCAUAACCAUUUCUCCUAAUUAUUCUAAGGCUUGGUACAGGAAGGGAAUGGUAAAAACAGCGCUCAAGAAUUAUUCAUCUGCAAUACAUGAUUUAGAGGUGGCAUUGAGCCAGGAAGUGACUUCUUCGGGGAAGAGUAACAUAGAACAAGAGCUGAAGUUGAUUUUAGAGAAGCAUGAAAGUGUCAAUGAAGCUGGGACAUCAAACUGUGAUAGCAAGGAUAGAGAUUUGCCUCUUGCAGGACAACCUCAUAAAAUUGUUAUAGAGAGUAUUUCAACACCAAACAAAGGUAGAGGAAUGAUUUCUACAGAUGAUAUCCCCCCAGCUUCGUUGAUUCAUGUUGAGGACCCUCUUGCUGCGAUUAUCAUGAAAUCUUCCCGUGAAACACACUGCCACUUUUGCUUCAGUGAAACUCCAGCCGAUGUUGUAUUCUGUCCUUCAUGUACAAUACCAAUUUAUUGUUCAAAAAGGUGCCAGGAGCAAUCAGCAGGUCAUAUUUCUCGUGAUGAAGAUACUAAUCUUGGAUAUUCAACGAAUGUUGCAAACCUGAGUAUAACUUCGAGUUGCAAGUCUCCAAGAUCUAAGCUAUUUGCUGAACAUAGGCAUGAAUGUGGAGGUGCCCACUGGGCAGCUGUUUUACCAGCUGAUGUAGUUUUAGCUGGACGAAUAAUAGCACACAGCAUAGUAAAAAGGAUGCCGUCUGGGAAGAGCUUUGCUUUCUCUGGCCCAAAUUUGAUGAUAUCAUUUCAGGAAUUAAUGAGCGAAGUUGACCAUCGCAGGAUCUAGUUCACCAUUAUGAUCAACAUUCUCCUGCCAACAAGUUGGAAUCACAUAUAUAUGCAAUUGUCCUAUUGUUAUGCCUCCAAAAUCAUUAUAGAUCAGACCUUUUGUGGACAGAAGAUUCUUUAUCACAGGUAUAUAUGGCGUUUAUCUUCAGACAUUAUUGUUCUGAUAUACCUGGUUAAUGAGUAUGAUCUGAAAUUGAUGGCGAUUUCAGCUCAAGAUUUUUUAUAAAUUUUCACAAUGCUAAUUGUUAUCAAAUGUCUUGGUCCAUACUGUUUUGGUGGAGAUAACCAGUCUCCUUGGGGAUUGCCAGUUUCAUGUUCCUUAGUAAUCUUAAUCUCAUCUCUACAAUACCAGUGUUUGUCGAACUUCCUUCUGUAUAGUCCCUUUGAACUUCCUUCUGUAUAGUCCUCUUUACACACUUUUACUUGUUCUGAUACUUAGAAAGCCAUUUUUUAACAUGCAAGAAUUUGUAUCAUUACAUUUAAAAAAGGACACAAUAAAAGCUCUUUCACUUGUAAAUUAGGUGAACACAUCAAACCAAACAAAAUAGGCAGAAAAGCAGAACCAACGAGGAUUAUUGUUAUAUAAUCAAAUCUUAAAUGACUAAAUAGCCUCUAGAUCAAUAGCCAUCCUGCAAUGCAAGUCUGCAACUGUGUCUAACAUGUUACCUAAAGCCCACUGGUUACACUCAUGGUGGUCAGACAAGAAAUCAGACAAGCUUGGAACUCAAGCUUCAGUCAGAUAUGCCUAAGGUACCUGGGUUCAACGAUGUUCUUAUCUAUACCAUGGUUUUGUUUCUCAUUACUAAGCUUUCCUAUAUACUGCAAUUCCCCCAAAACUUUUUUCUCUGGGGGUAUAGAGAAACUAUGGGGUAUCACAUUCACAUUUUGUUUUUGGGAAAGAAGAAACUCAUGUGUUGAUUAUCCUCUACAGCUGGUUCUUUUGAUAUUUCAAAUCAAAGUCAAUUCAAUUGCUAUUGUCUGUAUGAGGUCGAUGGACAGAGGCCCAGAGCACACAAUAAAUAGAGGUUUUUAUGUAGCUGAAGGUGCAAAAAUGUGUAGUGUGGAGCAGGUCAGGGUUGCACAAGCUCUUUAUGUAUCUGGUAGCCUGUUCAAUCACUCAUGUCAGCCCAAUGUGCACGCAUAUUUUCUUUCACGUGCGUUCGUGCUGAGAACUACUGAAUUUAUAAAGUCCGGGAGCCCAGUUGAACUGUCAUAUGGUCCACAGGUUGGCGAGAUGCAUAUUUCAGAGAGACAGAAGUCACUUCAAGAGAAUUACUACUUCAGUUGUCAAUGUUCAAGUUGUUCAGAGCUAAACCUAUCAGACCUUGUUAUGAAUUCAUUCUGUUGUCCACAAAGCAACUGCCUUGGUGCCAUAUCGGAAUCAACUUACUACAGGUCCAAAGAGAAUUUCGUGAAUGUUUCCCUUGGAGGAUCUUAUGUCUGCAAACUAUCAUUGCCCGAUGUAUCGAAGGUUGAUAUGGAUAUGGAGAAUGUCGCCAAAUCUCUCUUGCAAAAUAGUGGUGUCAGUCUGAACAUAGAUCAUGGAUGUUGCAUGAGUUGUAGAUCCUGUAUUGAUCUGUCGUCUGCUCUGGCUACAUCACACAGGGAAGAAUCUACCAUCGAUAGGUUGAAGAAACAUACAUUCCUAGACAAGACUCUCAUCACAGAGGCAUUACAAUCUCUAAAACAACUCAAGAAGUUGAGGCACCCAUAUAGCAAGGCUCUCGCGCAGGCCGAAGACACAAUCGCAGAGGCCUUUGCGAAGGUCGGAGACCAAGAACUAGCACGAAAGCACUGUGAAGCAUCAAUUCAGAUCCUCGAGAAGCUGUACCACCCAAAACACAUCAUCAUUGCUCACGAGCUUAUUAAGCUUGUUUCGAUUCUGCUGUCCCUGGGAGAUGGGGCAAGCGCCGCAGCCACAUUCGCUCAAGCAGAGGCAAUAUUCUCUCUUUACUACGGAUCUCAUGUGGAGAAGGUUUUGACAUACAUGGGUGCCCUGAAGAAAGCUGUCAUUGACGUGUAGCGUGCUGACAAUCCUCACGCGGGAAUGGCCAACACGGUUCUGCAGAAUCAUCUCACCUUUUGCGCUUCUUCGAGGAGUUAAUGUAGGGGAAAACCCAAAAAAUAUUUACAAAGCAGUGUGGUAUUGCUUGUAGUUUAGUUUGUUCUAGAAAACACAAACUAGCUCAACCAAACUUCCUGGCUAAUGAGUUUGGUGGAUGUUCUGAGUGCCUAUGUUAAUGACUUGUUUCAUAAAUUUUUUUCGUA